rnacentral:sRNA from 1 species
CCGAAAUUUUAUCAUAGUUUCAUGUAGUUUACAUGUGUCCCAAAAUUAAAAGCAUACUCGGGCCUCGGUAGGGGUUUAAAGUUUAACAUAGAAAUAUAUAGGGAACCUAUUUGAGCAUCUUCUUCUCAAGAAAUACAAAGUUACGUUUAGUUAUUUUACUUUGUAAUUAUCCUCAUAUAUUUAUAUCCUCAUAUAAAGUUGACAUAGACCUCCUUUCUCUUUUUAAAAAUAUUUAACAGUUCAUUUUAUAAUUUUAUUACCUUUAAUAGGUGGAGGCAUGGGAUAUUGAUCACUUGAUGCAUCUUACAUCUUACGAUAUGGUGUCUUAAAAAGUAGGCUAUUUAUGUGUCUGUUUAAUGUAUUGUCAAGAAUUAUUGUUCAAGUGAGCGAUAUGGCCCAUGAGCCUCUUGUUACUGUUUUCUUUAAUUUUGAUACUUUUUAUCAAUAAAUCGUUAU